rnacentral:rRNA from 1 species
AGAGUAUGAUCCUGGCUCAGGACGAACGCUGGCGGCACGCCUAACACAUGCAAGUCGAACGGAGAUGAUUUGAGUUUACUUAGAUCAUCUUAGUGGCGGACGGGUGAGUAACACGUGAGCAACCUGCCUUUGAGAGAGGGAUAGCUUCUGGAAACGGAUGGUAAUACCUCAUAACAUACAGAUACCGCAUGGUGACUGUAUCAAAGAUUUAUCACUCAAAGAUGGGCUCGCGUCUGAUUAGAUAGUUGGUGUGGUAACGGCUCACCAAGUCGACGAUCAGUAGCCGGACUGAGAGGUUGAACGGCCACAUUGGGACUGAGACACGGCCCAGACUCCUACGGGAGGCAGGAGUGGGGAAUAUUGCACAAUGGGGGAAACCCUGAUGCAGCGAUGCCGCGUGGAGGAAGAAGGUUUUCGGAUUGUAAACUCCUGUCUUAAAGGACGAUAAUGACGGUACUUUAGGAGGAAGCUCCGGCUAACUACGUGCCAGCAGCCGCGGUAAUACGUAGGGAGCGAGCGUUGUCCGGAAUUACUGGGUGUAAAGGGAGCGUAGGCGGGACGGCAAGUCAGAUGUGAAAUACAUGGGCUCAACCCAUGGGCUGCAUUUGAAACUGCUGUUCUUGAGUGAAGUAGAGGUAAGCGGAAUUCCUGGUGUAGCGGUGGAAUGCGUAGAUAUCAGGAGGAACACCGGUGGCGAAGGCGGCUUACUGGGCUUUUACUGACGCUGAGGCUCGAAAGCGUGGGGAGCAAACAGGAUUAGAUACCCUGUAGUCCACGCUGUAAACGAUGAUUACUAGGUGUGGGGGGACUGACCCCUUCCGUGCCGCAGUUAACACAAUAAGUAAUCCACCUGGGGAGUACGGCCGCAAGGUUGAAACUCAAAGGAAUUGACGGGGGCCCGCACAAGCAGUGGAGUAUGUGGUUUAAUUCGAAGCAACGCGAAGAACCUUACCAGGUCUUGACAUCGAGUGCAUAACUAAGAGAUUAGUGAAAUCCCUUCGGGGACACUUAGACAGGUGGUGCAUGGUUGUCGUCAGCUCGUGUCGUGAGAUGUUGGGUUAAGUCCCGCAACGAGCGCAACCCUUACCUUUAGUUGCUACGCAAGAGCACUCUAAAGGGACUGCCGUUGACAAAACGGAGGAAGGUGGGGAUGACGUCAAAUCAUCAUGCCCCUUAUGACCUGGGCUACACACGUACUACAA